GAGUUUGAACCUGGCUCAGGAUAAACGCUGGCGGCGCACAUAAGACAUGCAAGUCGAACGGACUUAAUCUUAAUAUUUAUAUUGAGAAGCGGUUAGUGGCGGACUGGUGAGUAACGCGUAAGCAAUCUGCCUAUUAGAGGGGAAUAACAGUGAGAAAUCAUUGCUAAUACCGCAUAUGCCAUAAGAACCACAUGGUUCUAGUGGGAAAGGAGUAAUCCGCUAAUAGAUGAGCUUGCGUCUGAUUAGCUAGUUGGUGUGGUAAUGGCACACCAAGGCAACGAUCAGUAGCCGGACUGAGAGGUUGAACGGCCACAUUGGGACUGAGAUACGGCCCAGACUCCUACGGGAGGCAGCAGUCGGGAAUAUUGCGCAAUGGAGGAAACUCUGACGCAGUGACGCCGCGUAUGGGAAGAAGGUUUUCGGAUUGUAAACUAUUGUCGUUAGGGAAGAUAAAAGACAGUACCUAAGGAGGAAGCUCCGGCUAACUACGUGCCAGCAGCCGCGGUAAUACGUAGGGAGCAAGCGUUAUCCGGAUUUAUUGGGUGUAAAGGGUGCGUAGACGGGAAAUUAAGUUAGUUGUGAAAUCCCUCGGCUCAACUGAGGAACUGCAACUAAAACUGAUUUUCUUGAGUGCAGGAGAGGUAAGUGGAAUUCCUAGUGUAGCGGUGAAAUGCGUAGAUAUUAGGAGGAACACCAGUGGCGAAGGCGACUUACUGGACUGUAACUGACGUUGAG
rnacentral:rRNA from 1 species